rnacentral:rRNA from 1 species
CGAGUGAAGCGGCAAAAGCUCAAAUUUGAAAUCUGGUACCUUCGGUGCCCGAGUUGUAAUUUGGAGAGGGCAACUUUGGGGCCGUUCCUUGUCUAUGUUCCUUGGAACAGGACGUCAUAGAGGGUGAGAAUCCCGUGUGGCGAGGAGUGCGGUUCUUUGUAAAGUGCCUUCGAAGAGUCGAGUUGUUUGGGAAUGCAGCUCUAAGUGGGUGGUAAAUUCCAUCUAAAGCUAAAUAUUGGCGAGAGACCGAUAGCGAACAAGUACAGUGAUGGAAAGAUGAAAAGAACUUUGAAAAGAGAGUGAAAAAGUACGUGAAAUUGUUGAAAGGGAAGGGCAUUUGAUCAGACAUGGUGUUUUGUGCCCUCUGCUCCUUGUGGGUAGGGGAAUCUCGCAUUUCACUGGGCCAGCAUCAGUUUUGGUGGCAGGAUAAAUCCAUAGGAAUGUAGCUUGCCUCGGUAAGUAUUAUAGCCUGUGGGAAUACUGCCAGCUGGGACUGAGGACUGCGACGUAAGUCAAGGAUGCUGGCAUAAUGGUUAUAUGCCGCCCGUCUU